rnacentral:lncRNA from 1 species
ACGUAUAAAGCACAAUGAAUGAAAGAAGAUAUACAAGCAUAACAAACAUAAGAGAUUUAUAGUAGUUCGAUGCCAACCUUGCACCGACAUCCACUCUCCAAAUUCCUACUUGAGAAUUCAAUCCACUAAAAGGAUUACAAGAUACAAAACAUCGAAUAACAUCGACCCUUGCUAUCCAAGCAAGAAUACUUAUUUUUUGGGUAUAAGCCAACCCAC